rnacentral:lncRNA from 1 species
AAGGAUAUCGAAAAAAGGUUGUUAUUAUGAACAAAACUACUUUUAUAAUGAACAAAUCAAAUUCAUUAAAUCUAAUCAAAUUACACCUGAAAUCAUACGGUACAUUAAAAACGACAUAUUUUGAUUCUACAAGUUUUCUAGGAAGAAGUUAUGCAACUUGGCUUUGUGUAAAAGCGUAUUUUAUUGGUGCAGGAACGUAUUUGAUUCUAUUUCUAUUUCUUCUUUAGCAUUUUGUCACGCCCUGGGGUCCCUUUUUAAUGCGGAAAUGUCCAAUUUUUUUUUUUAAAGCCUUGACCCCAAGGGAUAUCAGAUCCGCCACAAAUACAGGAGAUCCAAUGUUCACACGGACGGAGUCUCCCCUAUAUUUAUAGCCCACUAGCAACAAUAACUCGUUGGGCCCAACUACCGGCCCAAAAUGCUUAAGCCCAGUUAUUAUAUACCCAAUCACAUCCCCAUUCCUAUUUGAUGUAGGAUUAUUGGGGUGUGACAGACUCCCCUCGUUAAGGCCCUGACGUCCACGUUAGUCAAAUCACACACACAGCCCAAGAUCACUAGGCGAUGUGUGACUCGUCUCGACCCUGACUCAGCCGAGACUCGCCACACAUUUUUGGCUGGUGAAUUGGCCCUGAUACCAAAUGUAACGACCCAGCCUACUAGCAACAAUAACUCAUUGGGCCCAACCACCGGCCCAAAAUGCUUAAGCCCAGUUAUUAUUACUAGUGUCUAAGUCUCUAAUAUACCCAAUCACAUCCCCAUUCCUAUCCGAUGUGGGAUUAUUGGGGUGUGACACAUACAACAUGUAUUUACAUUUCUACAAGAAAAUCUUUUAAAAACUGUUUUCCACCAGAAAACCUUUUUCAUUAAAAACAAUCUACCACGAAGGGUAGAAAAUCAUUUACACAACUCACAAACAAUUAUAAAAGACACAAUGUUUAACUUUAUAAAUCCGUAAACAUUUAACCGAAAUAAAACCACUGAACCAUAAUGUCUAAGUCAUUUAUUUUGAAUAAGCAAGGAUAGAAACUAAAUUAAAUCGACUGGAUCGGAAGGUCUAUCGACCGCUACUAACGUGUCUCACGCAUCGUCCCGACUCUGACCCGCAACAUCACCUGAAAAAUGGUGGGGGGGUGAGAACAUGUAAACAUGUCUCCCCCUCGCAGUGGGUACCGCAAGUCGAUGAAGGCGAUGAGUACUCACCGGUACAAGAAGAGAUAAAUAAAGUCAUGAGCAGAUAUCACAAAUACAGUAGCAAUAAUAUUGAAAGGAAAGAGAACAGUAAUAGAACAUAUAACUACCGCUACUGUAAGU